rnacentral:lncRNA from 1 species
CCAGAGGAGGAAGCCCGGCGGGCAGGUCAGGACGAGGGUCAGGCCAAUCCUGGAAGUCGUGGGCGGUGGCCUAAGGAGCUGAGACGUUGGCUCUAUCGCUCUGGCCCACAGAGCAGAAGCAGAUACUUUGUCCUGGACGCUCACCUGCUUCUCUUGUUUCCCGGCCUGAAGUUGAGCAAGAGUGAACCAGAGACUCAGACAGAUGACUGACUUCUCCAUGUGACCCAGUGGCUGUUCCAGGAUCUGAACCCUGGUCAGCCUGACUCCCAACGCCAGAGUCCUCCACUCAGAGGUGGGCAUAUGCCUACCUGGAUGUGGCUGAUGACGAAGAUCAGUGUUCUUGGAUUAUUCAACCUGUUGAGGGUUAGUCUCAAGUCACUGUCAGGGGCAGUGUGGCAAUUCCACGGGUUCUCCCUCUACGUCAGGAUGGCGCAAACAGGUGUCAACGAAUUCUCUCUCUGUAAAAGGAAUCCAAAUAAAACAACCACUACCAUAAAUGCACUCUGCACGAAGCCUUGGCUUGUCGGGGGGCAUGAGCAUGCCUGGCAGACCAUGAGGCCCUGGAGGGACGUCUCUGGACAUAGAAACACCCCCAGCAGGAGGUCUCAGGGUCAUGGUGGUAGGACAGAGGGAACCUUGGGAUGGAGUAUUACAAACUCUUCAUCUCACAGGUGUGGGCACUGAGGCACAGAG